rnacentral:rRNA from 1 species
CGAUGUGUGUUAGACGUUGGAAAUUUAUUUUCAGUGUCGCAGGGAAACCGAUAAACACACCGCCUGGGGAGUACGACCGCAAGGUUAAAACUCAAAUGAAUUGACGGGGACCCGCACAAGUAGUGGAGCAUGUGGUUUAAUUCGAAGAUACGCGCAGAACCUUACCAACACUUGACAUGUUCGUCGCGACUCUAAGAGAUUAGAGUUUUCGGUUCGGCCGGACGAAACACAGGUGCUGCAUGGCUGUCGUCAGCUCGUGUCGUGAGAUGUUGGGUUAAGUCCCGCAACGAGCGCAACCCUCACUUUUAGUUGCCAUCAUUAAGUUGGGCACUCUGAAAGAACUGCCAGUGAUAAGCUGGAGGAAGGUGGGGAUGACGUCAAGUCCUCAUGGCCCUUACGUGUUGGGCUACACACGUGCUACAAUGGCAUCUACAACAGGAAGCAAAACGGCAACGUUAAGCAAAUCCCGAAAAGAUGCCUCAGUUCGGAUUGCACUCUGCAACUCGAGUGCAUGAAGCUGGAAUUACUAGUAAUCGUGGAUCAGCGUGCCACGGUGAAUGCGUUCCCGGGUCUUGUACACACCGCCCGUCACACCAUGGGAGUUGGUUCUACCUUAAGGCAAGGUUUUAAACCCUUGACCACGGUAUAGUCAGCGACUGGGGUGAAGUCGUAACAAGGUAACC